rnacentral:tmRNA from 1 species
GGGGGUGUACAGGUUUUCGACGGCUUGUAGGAUCUUUGAACAGCAUGUCGAGGAUAAUGGUUGGCCUCGUUAAUCAUCCAUUAAACAAUAACUGCUGAAGAUUACAACUACGCAGUAGCAGCGUAACAACGCUGCGACUCCUUUGAGCCAUUGUCGUUCGUGGCUUUGGGGAGUAUAAAACAGAACGAUCGACAGUGAGAGGGCAUUGGCUCGCUGUUUAAAUUAAGAUGCUGGUUGCUGUGUAUGCCUGUCUUUCGGCUGACACUGCAACGAGAUACAAUAGAAAGACUAAGCAUGUAGCGGUUCAAUCUGAAUACUUGUCGGACAGGGGUUCGAUUCCCCUCACCUCCACCA